AGAGGCCAACUGGGAGGUCCUGUGCGCCUGGGCGGGUUGAAGGUGGGAAUCUUUAGUCUGGCUUGACCAUAGCAUCAAUGUCAUCCAAUUGUGGGCAAAAAGAGGGUCUUCCUAGGUCUCUGAACAGUUCCUUCUUGUCACUCAGGACAGGAAUAUUGAUCCAUUUUCAGCCUUUCUAUAAACUUCCCCGAUCCCAGCCUCAGGCUUGGAAGAGGAGAUGGGGGUAGUGGGUGGGGCUGUGGAAGGCAGCCAUGUUCUGGCGCAGUAAAUCUUUCCCCAGAGACGAGAUGGCUGAGCUCAUCAGCCAGCUCUGGAUCUGCUCAGAAUGAACCCUUUCCAACCCCCAGAAGACCCUCAGCAGCUUGGGAAAGCAAUGGUUCAUUUGGGCGCUGGGUUUGUGUAUAUGGGACUGUCAGGCCGUGCAGGGCUGUCUGAUGACAUAUUAGAGCAGCUGAGAAGAGCAGACCUUUUGGAGUGGAGACAAAAAUGUUGGCCUACAGGGAAACUUGUGACCCCCUUGCGGUUUCCACCCCCACUUGCUUUGGAAAGCCCGCCCCAGGACUUUUCAUGAGCAGCUGGGCCCACAGCUUCCUCUCUUAGAACUCCAUUAAACUGUGAGUGAGGGAGGGAGAGAGGGUAAGGGAGUGUGUGUGUGUGUGUGUGUGUGUGUGUGUGUGUGCAUGCGUGUGCACGCGCACGCGCAGAGACGAACCAUCAUGUCUUUCUCGCCCAUUGCUCUUUUCGCUCUGCCAUUGUAUACAUUCCCAUGCCAGUCCCCUCAUAUCAUUCUCUCCGUUAAGCCUUCCUCUCCUCAUCUCUUCUACAACUUUCUGUACCUCAGCAAAGGACAAAAGGGGUCUGGAAUUUGCCUUGCAAAGCAGUUUCCUCCUUAGUGGUUUCAUCCAACAUCGUGGAUGCGAACAGAGUUGGGAAGGAGUGGGCAACAGAGUGGGAGCUGAUGUCUAGACCUCCCCACACAGACUCUAUGCCUCUGGAAUGCUGCCCUUGCCCCUCCACUAGAGAGCACACUUUUCUGGCUUGCACUAAGCCAGACGACCAAAAUACAGACACAGGAGGUGUCUUGAGGCUCAUCCCAUACGCAGUUAGAUUUCUUUCAGAUAAGCUUCACUGGAGAGAGACCAACAGCCUGGAUUUUGCCCCAGAUUCUCUGAUCUGAGUGCAGCCAGUUCUGGGAGCCCGUGCUUUUCCUUCUCUGCCUGGGUGAGCCACAACUUCUAAGCAUGCUUGGAGCCCUGGCAUUUUAUUCCAGCAUCCUUCUGAUCCUCUACUCGGAUAGAAUGGAAGUGAAAAUCUUAAACAGGAAAAAUGCUUCCCUCUGCAACUCCUACUUCUAUGAGUGGACUUUGCGCCAGCAUUCGGCCUCUAUAGCUACAUAACGCUGUUUGUGUAUCCUGCAGGAGAGACAGGCAGGUUUGAGGAGAUCAGCCAAGGGGACAGAUCAGUCUUGUCUGAACUAACGCAUCUAUGAAUAGAGUUGUGCUGAAUUGAGCCCACUGUCCUUUUACAUUGGUGGGUGUUUCUGUGGGUUUAUAAGCACAUUCUGGCUGCUUCUAGCUUGAAUAGAUUAAAUUUAUCCUUCUGUUCUGAGAAGUGUCUCUGGCCCCUAACGAGACCGAUGGCUUUUGAGGAAGGACUAAAUGACUUAUGACCAGAACAAUAAAGCAGCCCGAGUCAGUCUCCUCCAUGUCUACGUCAUGUAAUUUAUAGUGGCAAAGAAAACGGUACACAAACUAAAGCCAGGCACAAGGAUAGGGUGUGAGUUAAAUUAAACAUCUGUGAGAUAGAAUACUGGGUAGUCAUUAAAAUUGUAUCAGAAGAAAACCUGAGCUGGUGGGGAAAUACUCACACAACGUACCAUUAAAGGGAAAGUGAUUUAUGAAGUGCCACGCACAGAACCAACAGUUUUUAAGGAGAGCAUCAUGUAGGGUUUUUGUUUUUUUUAACUCCAAAAACCUGUCUACGAUGGUCACAGCAUGGUCUCUGGGUGAUAAGCUUACUUACAUUUAUUUCUUUAGAGGCAUUCGUUCUAUUUUUCCAGUUUUCUGCCAUGGACAUGUAUUUUCCAAAAUCAGUGGUGGAAAUCAUUAAAGAAAGGUUAUGUGAGGGGCUAGCAGAUGUGUCUCCCCUGCUUAUUAACCCCACAUCUUUCCUUGAAUUCUCCACCCUUCCCGCCAUGCGCACGGUGCCAGCAUCUUCCACAUCACUAAGGUGGAUGUUCUGCUGCAGUAAGAGCUUUGGAAGGUUUUGGGAAUUUGACCUGACGCUGAGAAUUCAUCAGUUUCGAGCCACAUCUUCUCCCAGCCAGCAGUGAGCAUCUCCGAGGAAUCUUAAGUGUAUUUCCAGGGGUUUGAAGAGGACAACGGCAAGCACUGACAGCUCCUCGGGAAAUGGCACUGAGAUGACCCAGCUGUCUUGAAAUUCUUAAUCCCAUUGGUGGCACACCUCCACACACACUAGAAAGUGGAGAGAACACAGCUUUCCUCCUGGGAUAGCCAGUCACUUCUUCUGCUCCAGGGGGUACCACAUUACCUAAGUAUGGAUCAUGGUCAAAUGAUGGCUUCUCCUGGUCAGCCUGUCCUUGGAAAAGCCACCCCCUGGUCGUAUUGGAAAAUUCCUCUUGUGUCUGUCACUGCCACACAUCAGAAGACCAAGAUACCCAUUUUCUCAGAAGAAAUCAACCAGCUACUGUCACUGAGAGCUACUGUCUGCUCCUGGAAACUUUUCACUGAUCCUCUCAGAACCAAUCCAGGAAAGUCAGGCCAAGAUGGAGGCUAGUAUUCCCCCAGCAUAGAAACCACCGGGCUAAGCCGAGUCUCUGCAAGGAGACUACGGUCUGGACCCAGAGAAGUAGUCUGAUGCUGACUUCUUUAAUAUUGCUGGAGUUCACUAAAGCAAUCAGCUUGAGACAGAUCAAGUUCACUUUUCUACUUUUUCAAAGAUUUAUGUAUAUGAGUACACUGUAGCUGUCUUCAGACACACCAGAAGAGGGCAUCGGAUCCCAUUACAGAUGGUUGUGAGCCACCAUGUGGUUGCUGGGAAUUGAACUCAGAACCUCUGGAAGAGCAGCUGGUGCUCUUAACCUCUGAGCCAUCUCUCCAGCUCCCUUGAAAUCAGCUUCAAAAAAAAAAAUAUGUCUUGCCUUGGAUUCCCAUUAUCCUAUCAGUCAGAUUUCAAAUCUAAACGAUCGAAUGGGAGUUGCUUCUCGGAAAAGGAAGUCUCUUUCUACAUAGAGUUGAGACCAGUGGGAAGUCUCAGGCCUGAGCCUCUUAUGGUCAAUUGUGAUGAAGGUGACAUUUCUGUUGUUAUUUGUCAGAGUGGACAGAAUACACCGUCAACUAUCUAUCGAUCACAUUAUGGGUGUACGAAACAAACAUUGGGAAAGAUUGUUUGAAAGAGCUAGCCGGGUCUAGGGGCACAUGCCUUUCAUUUCAGCACUCAGGAGGCAGAGGCAGGUGGUAUCUGUGAGUUUGAGGCCAGCUUAGUUUACAUAGUGAAUUCCAAAGUAGCCAGGCUAUAUAGUUAGGCCCCAUCUCAAACAAACAAACAAACAAACAAACAAACAACAAAAGUACUUUAGCAUAGUCCCCUCUUAGGAGCUUACAGCCCAGGAGAGUGUUUGAGAAUGGAGCUUAAGUCACAUAGUAAAGAGUGAGUCACAGCCACACAGAGGAGGACCAUUAAUCCACCCAAGCAUUCUGGGGAUGGUGUAUAGAAGGGAGACCUAGAUGUUGGGGCUAAUGUGAACCAGCAUUUUCCAAGCACCUGAACUGGCUUUUCCUGGCAGGAGUGAUGAGUGCGUUGACCAAGGCCCUUGAGAUCUGGGGAGUUAAAAACAGGGUGACAAGCUCUUAGGGAAUGUGAAUUCCGUUCACUGGGAACCAAGGCUAUACCCUUGGGCAGUAUGUCUGGUGGCCUAAAGCAUGUCUUAAUAUUUGAUGUAGUCAAACAUCUUAGAAAAGAGUUCCAAAGCUGGUAGCAUGUUCUUCUAGAGACUUCUCUUUUUACAAAAGAGAAGGUUCAAGUCUGCUUAAACAUGUAAGCAAAAAUUUGUAGAGAAAUAUUAAAGACAGCCUUAUGGUGAUGAAUCCAAACUUGGCAUGGUCCCUUACCUCACUCCUCCCACCUGUCCUAAAACCCUACUUUCCCCCA